AUCAGGAUCCCUAGUACUGCGAGUGAAGCGGGAAAAGCUCAAAUUUGUAAUCUGGCGGUCUUUGGCCGUCCGAAUUGUAAACUAGAGAAGUGUUAUCCGCGCUGGACCGUGUACAAGUCCCCUGGAAUGGGGCGUCAUAGAGGGUGAGAAUCCCGUCUUUGACACGGACUACCAGGGCUUUGUGAUGCGCUCUCAAAGAGUCGAGUUGUUUGGGAAUGCAGCUCAAAAUGGGUGGUAAAUUCCAUCUAAAGCUAAAUAUUGGCGAGAGACCGAUAGCGAACAAGUACCGUGAGGGAAAGAUGAAAAGAACUUUGGAAAGAGAGUUAAACAGUACGUGAAAUUGCUGAAAGGGAAACGCUUGAAGUCAGUCGCGUUAGCGAGGGAUCAGCCUUACUUUUGUGGGGUGUACUUCCUCGUUGAUGGGUCAGCAUCAGUUUUGGUUGCUGGAUAAAGAUCAGGGGAAUGUGGCAUCUUCGGAUGUGUUAUAGCCCUUGGUUGGAUACAGUGGCUGGGACUGAGGAACUCAGCACGCGCAAGUUGUGCUUAGGAUGCUGGCAAAAUGGCUUUAAUCGACCCGUCUUGAAACACGGACCAAGGAGUCUAACAUGCCUGCGAGUGUUUGAGUGGAAAACUCGAGCGCGUAAUGAAAGUGAAAGUUGAGAUCCCUGUCGCGGGGAGCAUCGACGCCCGGAGCAGAACUUUUGGGACGCAUCCGCGGUAGAGCAUGUAUGU
rnacentral:rRNA from 1 species